rnacentral:rRNA from 1 species
GACGAACGCUGGCGGCGUGCCUAAUACAUGCAAGUCGAGCGAGGGGGGACGGGUGAGUAACACGUGGGUAACCUCCCAUCAGAGGGGAUAACACAGGGAAACAGGUGCUAAACCGAUACUGAUGGAUGGGCCCGCGGUGCAUUAGCUAGUUGGUGAGGUAACGGCUCACCAAGGCCACGAUGCAUAGCCGCUCUGAGAGAGUGAGCAGCCAAACUGGGACUGCGACACGGCCCAGACUCCUACGGGAGGCAGCAGUAGGGAUUCUUCGGCAAUGGACGAAAGUCUGCCCGAGCUACGCCGCUGGAGUGAAGAAGGUUUUCGGAUCGUAAAACUCUGUUGUUAGAGAAGCGGUAUCUAACCAGAAAGACACGGCUAACUACGUGCCAGCAGCCGCGGUAAUUC